UUCAUGUGGCGAGGUGACGUCCCCAUUCAGGUCUGUCGAGAUUGCGUUCAGGACGCCAUAAAUCGAAUAGCCUCAAAGUUGGAGGGAGAUUCUGA